rnacentral:lncRNA from 1 species
CCCAAAGUGUGCUGCUCUCCCAUGGUGCCCAGCACCACAGCAAGCCACAGCUCACAGGCAGCCAAGCAAUGACCCGGGUAAACAACUGGCAUUCUACAGUGUACAGCGUUGCCAAGCAGAUUAUUCUUCUCUUCCUGAUUGGUGUUGGGCUCAAUCACGUGACUGGCUUUGGCCAAUGGGAUUGCAGGAGUGCAGUUCUCUGCACCUUGUCAUUCAGCCAAUGGGAUGGCAGCAGACAUGAGACAAGAGGAGGCUUUCAGUCUGCCUAAGGGGCAAGGCUUGCCCUUUUGUGCCUUGAACAUUCUGAUGAGAAGAGCUUCUGCCAGGCAGCUGCGACCCUUUAGCCUGGCCUCACAUGGAGCACCUCGGGAGCACAGCUCACAUGCCAGGACCAGGAGCUUGAAGCAGAGCUGCCCAGCCAUGCCUAGCCUAGAAGGUCACCUGUCAGCUGAUCCACAGAUAAAUAAAUGAGCCCAGAUGAAAUCAGCAAAAUGUGCCCAGCUACUCCCAGACUCAUUAGAAAUAAAUGCUUCAUGUCUGAUGCCACUGUGAUUUUUGUAAUGUUUGUUAUGCAGCACUCUUGUGGGAAGAGCUGACUGAUACAAAGGCUUCAAUAAGAAACAUAUCAUACUCUGUGAUUCAGAUUUACAAAAUUAAUUAUAACAAAAUAUUUAGAAAAUACUUAAACACCUGCCAGAUACUAUUUUAAGUGCUCCAUAUAUACUUAGUCAUUUAAUCCUUAUGACAAGCCUAUACAGUACAUAUUAUUAAGGUGGAGAAACUGAGGCACAGAGAAGUUAAACAAUUUUCCCUAGGCUACAUAGUAAAUGAUUACACUACAGUGGUUCAAACAGGUCUGGGUUCAUAGUCCAUUGUUAACUACACCUUAAUAUGAUCUGUUCUAGUGAUGUUAAACCUUUCAGAGCUUUCAAUGAUACAAACAGCCCACUGCAGCAUGCAUGCCAUAGGUUCGCCACCACUGAUCUAAUGCACUCUGCUACUUUUAUAAACAUCUAGUGGUCAUACAACACUGUAUGCCUGGAUAUAUACCAUUUUUAUUUGUCAACUGUGCCUCAAUAAAGCUGAAC